rnacentral:RNase_P_RNA from 2 species
AGAGCAGGAGAGGUGGUCGCCCCCGAUGUAUUAAGUAUCGGGGGAGGAAAGUCCGAACUCUACAGGGCAAGGCGGUCGUUAAUUGCGACUGGGGGCAACCCCAAGGAAAGUGCCACAGAAAGUGAAACCGUCCCGACUUUGUCGGGAUAAGGGUGAAAAGGUGAGGUAAGAGCUCACCAGUUGAGACGGUGACAUCUCAAGCUUGGUAAACCCCGCCUUGAGCAAGGUCGAAUAGGUUCCGCUUUGAGAAGUGCCCCUUCUAAUUCUCCGUCCCGACUUUGUCGGGAUCCGGGAGGCGGAACGGGCCGACCGCAAGAGUCUGGUGGCAACACCAGACCUUAGAUGAAUGACCACGUAAACAGAACUCGGCUUAUAAGCCUGCUCUGGCA